AGUAUAACCUAUUUACCAAGGAAAUAUUUCCGCAUGGGCGUGCGUGGUUUGAUGCAGCCACGGAGGGAGGUGGCAGUUUGUUUAUGAAUUGCCUUUCCUUGUGUUAUUAUCGCGUUUUAAUAAAAACAUUUCACAAUGGCAGAGGACGUUCAGAAACACUCCGUGCACACGCUGGUGUUCAGGUCGCUCAAGAGAACGCAUGACAUGUUCGUGGCAGAUCAUGCCAAGCCGAUAGCCAUUGACGAGGAAAGUCAUAAACUGAAGAUGACAGUCAAGCUGCGUGAGGAGUAUGGUGCUGUUCUGCACAUGCCCGUUCUUAAAGAGGGGAAGGAGAAAGCCAAGCAACAGAUGACUGACCCCUACAGCCAGCAGGGGUACCCAGCACACUCAGAUCUGGAUCCAGAGUAUCUCAUCACUGGAACACAUCAUUAUCCAUCAGGCCCUGGGGUAGCUCUGACGGCCGACACACAGAUGCAGAAGAUGCCCAGUGAAGGUGGAGUUCAGUCACUGGCGCUAGCACUGCCUCCAUCACAAGCAAGGCAGGAUGCCACUCGCACUGCAGCCAGUGUAGCGGACAUUCACAGACAUGCUGGGAGUGCGGACAGGUCACAGCCUCCUCUCCAUGCUAUGUCCCUCACGGAGGCAGGAGGGACUAAGAACGUGUCGCUGGUGAGGAAAGCUCCGACCAUGCCCAAGCCACAGUGGCACCCGCCAUGGAAACUGUACCGGGUCAUCAGUGGUCAUUUAGGGUGGGUGAGAUCCAUCGCGGUAGAGCCGGGGAACCAGUGGUUUGUCACCGGGUCAGCCGACAGGACCAUAAAGAUCUGGGACCUGGCGAGCGGGAAGCUCAAGCUCUCUCUCACGGGACACAUCAGCACGGUGCGGGGCGUGGCCGUCAGCUCCCGCAGCCCCUACCUCUUCUCCUGCGGGGAGGACAAGCAGGUCAAGUGCUGGGACCUGGAGUACAACAAGGUGAUCCGCCACUACCACGGCCACCUCAGCGCGGUGUACGACCUGGACCUGCACCCCACCAUCGACGUCCUGGUGACCUGCAGCAGAGACUCCACCACCAGGGUUUGGGACAUCCGGACCAAGGCUAACGUGCACACGCUGUCCGGACACACCAACACGGUGGCCACGGUCAAGUGCCAGGCCGCGGAACCUCAGGUCAUCACAGGCAGCCACGAUACCACCAUCAGAAUGUGGGAUCUCGUCGCCGGGAAGACCAGAGCCACGCUGACCAAUCACAAGAAGUCUGUCAGAGCCCUUGUUCUGCACCCCCGUCAAUACACCUUUGCCUCCGGUUCCCCAGACAACAUUAAGCAGUGGAAGUUCCCGGAUGGAAGCUUCAUCCAGAACCUUUCCGGCCACAACGCUAUCAUCAACACACUGGCAGUCAACUCAGACGGCGUUCUGGUAUCGGGAGGUAAACUAUGGCCUUGGUGGAUAUAAGAGAGGAGUCUUUCUCAAGUGCAGUAAUUAUGCCUAUAAAACAAGGUGCAGCUUUUAAAAUAUCAUCAUUUAAAAUUAAUUCAUUACAGACGUGAGGACUCUGGGAAUGUGUAGUUUAGCUAUUGUACUUUUGUAAGUUCUACUUUGGAUCAAUUUCUGACUAGUUUUCAGAGGGCAAAUCCACAAAAGCACCUACAUAUGCAGUUUGUGAUAUCACCAUUUUGUUUUUGAAAAUAUGUGGAAAAAAAGAGCAAAUGGCCAUUGGUUCUCUUAUCUCUUUGAAGAGUGGGUGUUUUGGAAUUUUCAUUUUUUUUUCAAAAUAUUAAGUCAGUGUUCUAGAACUCCAUUGCUUUCAAUUACCUGUAUUGAUUGUGACACCAGGAAUGGAAUGUUCAGGUAAGAACAUUCUAAUCACAUAUUUGUGAUCUUACACCUUAAAAGGUUAAAAGCAAUGGCAAUGGUAUGCUCACUUAAUAUUUUGCCUGACUUAACUGCUGAUUGGUAAUCUGUGGGAUGAAAUUAGAGGGAAUUGCGCAACUGCUGAUCUGAGAUGU